rnacentral:rRNA from 1 species
AGUGAACGCUGGCGGUAGGCCUAACACAUGCAAGUCGAACGGCAGCACAGAGGAGCUUGCUCCUUGGGUGGCGAGUGGCGGACGGGUGAGGAAUACAUCGGAAUCUACUCUGUCGUGGGGGAUAACGUAGGGAAACUUACGCUAAUACCGCAUACGACCUACGGGUGAAAGAAGGGGACCUUCGGGCCUUGCGCGAUUGAAUGAGCCGAUGUCGGAUUAGCUAGUUGGCGGGGUAAAGGCCCACCAAGGCGACGAUCCGUAGCUGGUCUGAGAGGAUGAUCAGCCACGCUGGAACUGAGACACGGUCCAGACUCCUACGGGAGGCAGCAGUGGGGAAUAUUGGACAAUGGGCGCAAGCCUGAUCCAGCCAUACCGCGUGGGUGAAGAAGGCCUUCGGGUUGUAAAGCCCUUUUGUUGGGAAAGAAAUCCAGCUGGCUAAUACCCGGUUGGGAUGACGGUACCCAAAGAAUAAGCACCGGCUAACUUCGUGCCAGCCGCCGCAGUAA